rnacentral:rRNA from 1 species
UACAGAGGUCUCAAGCGUUGUUCGGAUUCAUUGGGCGUAAAGGGUGCGUAGGCGGCGCGGUAAGUCGGGUGUGAAAUUUCGGAGCUUAACUCCGAAACUGCAUUCGAUACUGCCGUGCUUGAGGACUGGAGAGGAGACUGGAAUUUACGGUGUAGCAGUGAAAUGCGUAGAGAUCGUAAGGAAGACCAGUGGCGAAGGCGGGUCUCUGGACAGUUUCUGACGCUGAGGCACGAAGGCCAGGGGAGCAAACGGG